rnacentral:lncRNA from 1 species
CACUCUCAUGUUUUUCUCUUUCAUUAGACUAUGACUCCUCGAUGGUAGCAAUUUGUAGUAAUCAAAUUUUUGUAUUUUAUUUUAGCAUCUGGCAUCUUUCUUGACAUACGUAGCAGUUGCUUUUUGACAGCUUGCUUCUGGAGUGAAUGAAUAAAUUAAUAAAUUUAUUCAUUUGAUAUUCAGUGACAUGUGAUAUUCAGUGAUCCAUUUUGCAGGCUCUUGAGUUUCUGCUUUCAAGUGACCCUCAGAAAUGCCCCCAUUCACUGCAGAGGUUCUGUUUCUCCUUGUUUUGUUCCGACUUUAUGGCAGAACUAGGUUAAUGAGUUAAUUACUAUGAGUUAUCACUUGGAUUUGAAGAACCAUCAUUUCUAGGCUUUGCUGCUCAGAGUGGGUUUGCCCUCAGGGGAAGCUAUCUAACCAGAGCCUAACCCACUAGGGUUUUAUCAGAACCUAACUGGCCUGAGGAAAAGAAAUAUUCAACUCCAGCAAGCUCCAGCCUUCCAAACGGAGGAGGAGAAAACCCAAAUCCAGCCCACUUCAGCUAUCUUGUCCCACAUAAAGGGGGAGUGGAAGAAACGUGAGAAGCAGGCAUGAAGUUCACAGUCCGGAGGUACAGACACAUCAGAGUUCAGUAUCUGAUGAAUUAGAUGCAAAAUCCUCAACAAAGUAUUAGCAAAUUGAAUUCAACAAUGUAUGAAAAUUAUUACAUGCCAUGACUAAUUGGAAUUUAUCUCAGGUAUACAAGCCAUGCUGAACAUCUGAAAAUCAAUUCAUGUGAUCCAUCACAUUAGCAGAUUCAAGAAAAAAAAAACCACAUUAUCAUAUCAGUAGAUGUAGAAAAAAAAAAUUAACAAAAUCCAGCACGCAUUCACAAUGAAAAUGCUCAGUAAAUUAGAAAUAGAAGGUAACUUCCUCAACUUGACAAGGAAUAUCUCUAAAAACCUACAACUAAAAUCAUACUUAAUGGUAAAAAACUAGAAGCCUUCCCAGUAAGAGUAAGAACAAGGCAAAGAUGUAUGCUCUCACCACUCCUUUUCAACAUCAUAUUGGAAGUCCUAGCUAGUGCAAUAAGCAAAAAAAAAAAAAAAAGUUAUAUUAAUAAGAAAAAAAACCGUGUUUGUUUGCAGAUGACAUGAUUGUCUAUGCAAAAAAUUCAAAAUAAUCAACAACAAAAAAUCGUGAAACUAGUAAAUAAUUAUAGCAAGAUUUCAGGAUAUGAGAUUUAUAUACAAAGUUCAACUACUUUCAUAUAUACAAGCAAUGAAUAAGAGGGAUUUGAAAUUAAAAAUGAAACUAAUUACAUUACUACCCCCAAAAUGAAAUCCUUAUGUAUAAACUUAACAAAAUAUGUACAAGAUAUAUAUGAGAAAAA